rnacentral:ncRNA from 2 species
UUGAAAAGAACGGUUGUCCUUCAUAUAUACUCGAUAAUAUGGAUCGAGAGUCUCUACCGGAACACCUUAAACGUUCUGACUAUGAAGGCAGAAGAUUUAGAU